UCUAAAAAUAACCCGGUAACCAUGGUAACGGCGCACCACACAGCGCCUCGCGCGCGCUUUUACUGCACUUUUACACUUGUUCCUCAGCAAGGCGGGACUGCGGACUGCUGGUCGCUGCAACAGGCAGUCUUCAGGACUGCUACAUGUACCGGGCUGCAGGGGGUAGCAGCAGGGCGACUUACGGCCCGAUGGCUCGUCACAUCACAGCACGGCGUCCCAGCUGCAGCAGAUGAAGACGGGCAACUCCCACCACACGACUACAUGGCGGUCGUCGGGCCGUGCUGUGGGCGAGACUCGCCACGUCAUCGCUCAACCGGACAACGCAACCUCACCAGACUCACCAGCGACGCGGGACUGCGGACUGCUGGUCGCUGCAACAGGCAGUCUUCAGGACUGCUACAUGUACCGGGCUGCAGGGGGUAGCAGCAGGGUGACUUACAGCCCGAUGGCUCGUCACAUCACAGCACGGCGUCCCAGCUGCAGCAGAUGAAGACGGGCAACUCCCACCACACGACUACAUGGCGGUCGUCUGGCCGUGCUGUGGGCGAGACUCGCCACGUCAUCGCUCAACCGGACAACGCAACCUCACGAGACUCACCAGCAAGGCGGGACUGCGGACUGCUGGUCGCUACAACAGGCAGUCUUCAGGACUGCUCCCGUACCGGGCUGCAGGGGGUAGCAGCAGGGCGACUUACGGCCCGAUGGCUCGUCACAUCACAGCACGGCGUCCCAGCUGCAGCACAUGAAGACGGGCAACUCCCACCACACGACUACAUGGCGGUCGUCUGGCCGUGCUGUGGGCGAGACUCGCCACGUCAUCGCUCAACCGGACAACGCAACCUCACGAGACUCACCAGCAUGGCGGGACUGCGGACUGCUGGUCGCUGCAACAGGCAGUCUUCAUGAAUGCUACAAGUACCGGGCUGCAGGGGGUAGCAGCAGGGUGACUUACGGCCCGAUGGUGAGUGGCUCGAGGCAAUCAGGGGCACUGCUGACACGAGGGACACUGCACAGCACAAGGGUCGUUCUGCAGGCUCGUCACAUCACAGCACGGCGUCCCAGCUGCAGCAGAUGAAGACGGGCAACUCCCACCACACGACUACAUGGCGGGCGUCUGGCCGUGCUGUGGGCGAGACUCGCCACGUCAUCGCUCAACCGGACAACGCAACCUCACGAGACUCACCAGCAAGGCGGGACUGCGGACUGCUGGUCGCUGCAACAGGCAGUCUUCAGGACUGCUACAAGUACCGGGCUGCAGGGGGUAGCAGCAGGGUGACUUACGGCCCGAUGGUGAGUGGCUCGAGGCAAUCAGGGGCACUGCUGACACGAGGGACACUGCACAGCACAAGGGUCGUUCUGCAGGCUCGUCACAUCACAGCACGGCGUCCCAGCUGCAGCAGAUGAAGACGGGCAACUCCCACCACACGACUACAUGGCGGUCGUCUGGCCGUGCUGUGGGCGAGACUCGCCACGUCAUCGCUCAACCGGACAACGCAACCUCACGAGACUCACCAGCAUGGCGGGACUGCGGACUGCUGGUCGCUGCAACAGGCAGUCUUCAUGAAUGCUACAAGUACCGGGCUGCAGGGGGUAGCAGCAGGGUGACUUACGGCCCGAUGGCUCGUCACAUCACAGCACGGCGUCCCAGCUGCAGCAGAUGAAGACGGGCAACUCCCACCACACGACUACAUGGCGGUCGUCGGGCCGUGCUGUGGGCGAAACUCGCCACGUCAUCGCUCAACCGGACAACGCAACCUCACGAGACUCACCAGCGAAGCGGGACUGUGAACUGCUGGUCGCUGCAACAGGCAGUAUUCAGGACUGCUCCCGUACCGGGCUGCAGGGGGUAGCAGCAGGGUGACUUACAGCCCGAUGGCUCGUCACAUCACAGCACGGCGUCCCAGCUGCAGCAGAUGAAGACGGGCAACUCCCACCACACGACUACAUGGCGGGCGUCUGGCCGUGCUGUGGGCGAGACUCGCCACGUCAUCGCUCAACCGGACAACGCAACCUCACCAGACUCACCAGCGACGCGGGACUGCGGACUGCUGGUCGCUGCAACAGGCAGUCUUCAGGACUGCUCCCGUACCGGGCUGCAGGAGGUAGCAGCAGGGUGACUUACAGCCCGAUGGCUCGUCACAUCACAGCACGGCGUCCCAGCUGCAGCAGAUGAAGACGGGCAACUCCCACCACACGACUACAUGGCGGGCGUCUGGCCGUGCUGUGGGCGAGACUCGCCACGUCAUCGCUCAACCGGACAACGCAACCUCACCAGACUCACCAGGGAGUAUGUGGAGACUAGUGGCCUAAGCGGAAGUACAGCAGACACAGUGGUAACAACCUGACGGAAGCUCUACCUGGACAGCUGAGGCACCCCACACAGUUACCGAACACAAGUGAGGAAAUCAAUGGCGCUACGCACAGUCCUUAUGACACUGGAAAUUUACCUGGUGUUGUGGCUGCAGUGGACUGCACUCUUGUUCCCGUAGCAAAUCCUGGAGAUACAGGAGAAGUGAUUGGAAACAGAUGUGGGAUUUUUUCCCUGAAUGUCCUGGUUGGUUUAGUUUCAAUUAAAUUAUGUCUCAUUUUCAUUCAUAAAGACGAGUUUCCAUUUGUUUGAAUACAAAUAUACAUUUUCAUUCGAGCUUGAUGAAAAUAUUGUACACUUGACCUUGGAAACAAGAGGAAGAUCACAGUCUACAUAAAAUUUCGUAAAACCAGCCCCAUUCAACUUUCCCAUCCCUAAAACCUAAAUUUUGACAUCUGACAUUCAAGAUAUAAGGAAAAUUACUGUCUAAAUUUGACACUGAAUAAAACUACCCCCCCAAUUACUUAUCCACCAGUAUUGUUAAUAACCUCUUGUAAUAAUUACAUUUUGUAAUGGAACUUCUCCUUAAAAAAAUAAACCUUAUCACAUUACAUAACAUACGUAUAUAAAAUAACCUAUAUACAAUGUGCUGUAAAAUAUACUUUGGUGACAAAUUGCAUAACGAAAUUUGAUGUAUUUUUAAAUUUUUGAAGUAAUUAUUUGCAAUAAUUAAUUUCAAAAUGGUUCGGUUUAUUCAAUCAAACAAGAGUAUGACUUCUAACAUGUGUAUAUAAUUACACAGCAACUUUUUUUAAGCGGUAUCUUAUUGUACAGCAAAUGUAUUUUUUGGUGCAGGUUGCUUUAAGUACACAAAUUAUUGACAUUUGUGGCACAAGACUUUUUUGAUGGGGCAGGACUCCAGGUUUGCUUCAAAGAACAACAUAUAAAGGGAAUUAUGCUAGAAGACAUACCUACUCACACCAUGGCUAAAUCCACAGACAGAUGCUGAAGAAAGAUACAGUGUAGCUCAUAUCCGAACUAAAAAUGUUGUGGAAAGGAUGUUUGGUGUCUGGAAGCAAAAAUUCUGCUGCCUUACAAAAAAAAACUGGCACAUAAACCUGAAAACAUUGUUGCAAUAAUUUGUGCAACUGCUGUACUGCACAAUAUUAGCAUAAAUCUCGAAGAUGAAUUACCACGGAUUCAUUUGUUUUGUUCAGCAGUUGCUGGGAAUCGUAACAGAUGUAACCUUAUUUGUGCAGAUUUCAUUUGAUGUCGGUUUGUGUAAUUUAUUUUACAUAUUCGGUUACAAACAUGGAAAACUGGAAAAAUCAAAGAACUGUAUUUACAAAGUACAAAAGUUUAUUCACUUUUGAACAAUAGUACUAAAGCAAAUUUUCACGUGUAUUUUCUGCAUUAUGCGACAUAUUUAUAUUUUCUUUGUUCAGAAUAUGAUUUGCUGCGAGUCAGCUCUAAUGUAUCAGGAGUCUGGCCUAAACACACAAAUUCCAUUUAAUUGGAAAUCAUUUAUGUUGAAGUAAAACAACAAUUAUUUAAUAUUUUAUGUAGAGUCAAUAAUAAAUAACCUAACAGGUACGCCAAGUUAAAAAAUACAGGUUUCUGGAGCCUUUCGGAAGUGUUUUUGCUGUAUACAGAAAUUUGCACAAUUCACAUUACUGUGCAUAAAAUUUUUGUUCACCCAAUUGGUAACAAAUUAAAACAUACAGCUGGUACACAACCAUGCUUGGUAUACCAUGUAUCAUCUUGUCACCAAACAUGAAUACAUACAAACAUUGCCAUGUGACACACAUAAAGCAUCUGUAAAUACAUAUAUUGUUUAAAAUUUGUCAGCUCGUGGUUUUAAAUUAGAGUAUUACAACAAAUUAAUUUAUGAUGUGUAAAAAGUAUCAACAAAGUUUAGUGUAAGCGACUUAGGUGUGCACCGAGUAUUCCGUAAUUGAAGGCGAGUGAUAGCUUAUUUAAAUGCUUUAUUGUGACAAGUUUCAACUAGCAAAAGACAUAUAUAAUUGAAAGUUUUCUCAAAGUUCAAGUUAUAGAUAUUUUUUUAAUCACAAUUGUAGAGACAUUUGAAUUAUUUUUAUCAGUUUGCGAGAAGUUAAUUGGUAAAUUUGUAAAUAGUUUUCAACUAACUUUUGUACGCAUUUUAAAUAUUAAUUGUGCUGUCAUUAACUUGAUUGUUAUGUGUAAAUUUUACUACAGCAGAUCCAUUAAGUUAAAGUUCUGAUGAACUGGAAUGUAAUGUUGUUCGGCCUUGUUUAAUUUUGCAGAAAACGUUGUACAAAUAAUAAUUAAAGCAAAGGGCUUUUUUAUAAUUUGCAUAAUCUUAUAUUACCAGCUGUGUAAUAAUGUGUUAUUCGUGUUCAUAGAAACUAUCAUUCAUGAGUACAACUGUACUUCCACACACAUGGUACAAACCAGAGAACAUGUUCAAUGUUUAUGUUUGGUAGAAAUUUAAUUUGAAAAAAAAAAUUACAUAUACACAAAGCACUUCUCUCACUUGUUAUUAAAAACUACUCUCUAGAGUUGCAUCUCACGGGGUACAGCAGUGGGCGAGAAACGCACCACUCUGCUUUCGAGCAAGUGUGCCAUGCAUAGGAGUUAGCCAUGCUCUCUGGGUUUAACAUGAAAAGGUCAUCUAAUAAUUGUACAUUUUUUGUGUAUUUUUUUGUUGUACUACCACACAAUGCCUUUUACAGGGACCAUGUGAAUCCAGAUGCUGACAAAAGAACCGUUGCUGCGUCUACUAACCAACUAGAACAUAGGCAGUUUUGACCCAAACACGAGCUGAGAGGAAUAGCAUGCGAGUCCUACAAAACGAAAAUAACUUCUCAGGGAACUAGUGAAAUCAAUAAUACAGGAUUCCUAAAUAAUUAUUUCAAAAAGAAUUCUGUAAAUCCUGUCAUAGAUAAAUUAGUGAAUUUACUGUACACUCAAAGCAGUAAAUGUAAUUGAAUUUCUGGGAAAAGUUCAUGAUAUAAGGAAUCAGGAUUUAAUAAGUGAUAAUGCUUUGUUUGAGCUGUUAAUGUUAAAGAGUUCCUAGUGAAGUGCAGUACUGUAGGGCCGCGACGUCUUGGCGGGUGGACUCCCUAGAGCUCAGUGACCUUGUAAUCGACACGUCCCGCCUUGUCUGCUCCGCAGAUAGCAACGGCCUGGAAGUCUUCAUGCCGUUCCGAAAACAUUGGUCCAGUACAAUCUCACGUACGGUGCAGCACAGCGCAGAUCUUAAUGAUACAAAGAUGCGAUAAUGCUUUACGAUAGGGGACCCCAGGAAGCCAGCAGCAUAAGCGAAUGAGAAGCGACAGAGCAGCCUGCAUCGCUCCCACGCGUCAUGCUGCCAGACGGAGGAGCAGUGAACAUUCAGCUGGCAAUACACCAGGUGUUAUUUUGCAAAAAGGACUCGGCCCAUCUUCAGCGAGGACGAGUGCAGAACCCAGAAUGAGUACGCAGGCGUCCGAGAGGUGAUCAGCCACGCACACGUGUAGUAGUUGUACCGGCCGAGUCUACUAGGGACCUGUGCAGUGCGAGUAGACUUUGGGAAUUUUGGUUUCAAGCAAGCCUAGCAUACAGUGAUGAAAGUUGUAAGCAAAUUUAAAGGACAGUCAACCAUGAAAGUUUUAAGGCGGUUGAGCUCGGCGGGCAAAAGGUGCAGACGGCUAUAUUGACGCACACUCUUGACCACCAGACUGACAUAGCACAAGUCACAAACUAACCAAGGUGCUCUAUCCGGAAAGUUGUGUUCACUGCUUACUACAUGAACCGGUUGGAGACCGUACAGCUGAGUUCUACUCAUCGUUGCCAAGAUCGCCGGACGAGUCGGCAACCGAGUCGCAGCUCAGGAAACUGGGAGGCAGGCGUCUGGGUGUGCUGAGGCGACGAGAGGACAUUGCCGAGCGAGUGCGGGAAGCAGAGCAGUCCACUCGCUGUGGGGACCUGUCUGCACAGCCGCACGACUGAGACACCUUACUGACAGCUUAAACACUUUACUGUUUACUGUGAGAAGUUUCAACUAGCAAAAGACAUGUAUAAUUGAAAGUUUUCUCAGAGUUAAUGUUAUGUAUUAUUUUGAAAUCGCAAUUGUAGAGACAUUUGAAUUAUUUUAUUCAAGUUGCGAGAAGUUAAUCGGUAAAUUUGUAAUUUGUUUGAAAGUAACUUUUUUAAGCAUGUUAAAUAUUACUUGUGCUGUCACUAACUUGAUUGUUACGUGUAAAUUUUUCUACCGCCAAUCCAUUAAGUUAAAGUUCACUCAUAAUUAAAGUUCAAAUGAACUGGAAUGUAAUAUUGUACGACCUUGUUUAAUUUUGCAGAAAACGUUGUACAAAUAAUAAUUAAAGCAACUGCCUUUUAUAUAUAUAAAUUGCGUAAUCUUACAUUACCAGCUGUGUUAUCACGUUUUGUUUGUGUUCAUAGGAACUAUUAUUCAUGAGUACAGCUGUACUACCAGACCCAGUAUAUGAACCAGAGAAAAUGGUAAAUGUUUGUGUUUGUUGGAAAUUUAACUUGAAAAUAAAAUUACAUGUAUGCAAAGCAUUUCUCUCGCUCGUUAUUAAAAACUACCGUCUAGUGUUGCAUUUCACGGGGUACAGCACUGGGCAAGAAAUAUAUUAAAAUAAUGUGGAAUGUGUAAUAAAUUUUAAUCUUAUUUUUGUCCUAAUAUAAUAUACCAGUCACAUUGCCAUGUUGAUGGAAUUUUUAAUGUUGGAAUGUACAAGCUACUGUUGACAUUAUUUACUUGGUAAAUAAAUGCACUAGUGAAAAAC